AAGGUUUAAACGCACGGCUGAUGCGUGGAGAUGUGAAACGGCGGCAGCGGCACGAGCCCGCACAUUACUACCACUACCACUGACAUCGUCAUCUCAGCGACGCCGCGACGUCACCAUGACGCAGCGGGCCCGCGCCAGGCGAUGAGAACGCAGUCUCCUGUUCCAAGGAUGAAAUGGGAGCCGGGGUCCGACCGCAGCAGAGCACCCGCAUUCCCACCGACUCGGAACAAAAAUGCACUUCAUUAUGUUAUUAUGCACUUUGUUUGUGCUGAAUAAUGCUGGAGAGCAACAUUUAUAAAAUGCUGGGACCUGAUGAUAAUUACUUUUUGUUGAUUUAUUCAACAUUUAAAAUGUUUUAAAAGAUUUGCUUUUUAAGAAAUCCUGCUCUUUUGAACUUUCCAUUCAAAGAUUUCUGAAUAAAGUUCAAUAUUAAUAAUCAAUAAUAAUAAGAAAUGUUUUUGUGCAGCAUUUGUUUCAGAAUGAUUUCUGGAGGAUAAUGUGACACUAAAGACUGGAGUGAUGAUGCUGAAAUUCAGAUUUGCAUCACAGGAAAAUUACAUUUACACUACAUUUUGAAAUAUAUUGAAUGUCUUUCAACAUAAACUUUUAAAAAUCUUCCCAACCUCAAACCUUUAAAAUGGUAGUAUAAUCGUCUAAAUGUGAAUUGAAUGCAAUAAUAAUAAUUUCAAAUGCAAUAAUGACAUAUGUAAAUGCUUUCAGAAGGUUAACUCAAAAAACUGUUUGCUGUCAUCACAUAUGGGCUACUGAACUAAAUGCAGUUUUCAGCGAUGGCAGUAUUUACAUGACUAUAAUUAUUUAUUAUAUUAUUUAGUCAUACUUUUAAUUAACCUUUCAGUUAUUUUACAUGCUUUUGUCAUUUGUUUUCCCUUUCCCUUAUAUAAAUUAUUUUUAGAUUUAUUAAUUUUAGUACUUAACUCAGUGACACACAAGCAGAUUGUUUAAAAAAAAUUACAAAUUGAUGUGAAUUCACCACCAACAGUUCGCCAUGAGAGUGUUUUGGUAGACACCAUAUUUAUUUAUUGCAAAUAAAAUCAUGGCUAUUAGAAAAGGUUGUUCAACGAGCUGAGCUGACUUAAGGUCCUAUAAUAGUUCAUUUAUUAUUAUUAUUAUUAUUAUUACAGGAACUAACGUACCUAAUAUUUUCAUAUAGCUGUCUCAGACAGCCGAAGGCCACAUGGUCAGCCAUUUAACGUCUUCUCAGGUUUGUAAUAAAAGAAUGAGAAAACAGGGAUCAGUCACUCUCUAUAGCUCUGAGAAAAGUGAAAACAAGAGUUUAACCUCUCCGUCCAGAGAGCAUCAUAAAUAAACCACUGACACAAAGUCCUCUUGAUUGUGAAGAACUCAAUACUUAGUCUUAUACUCUAGUAAAGAGACCCACUUUCAGUAAACGUCUAUGGGGUUUUCACUUUAAACACAAAACACUGUUUAAUUCUUAAUUUCUCUUUAUUUCCGA
rnacentral:lncRNA from 1 species